rnacentral:tRNA from 1 species
UCUCUGGUGGCUCAGAAGGUAGAGAAACUGCCUGCAAUGCAGGAGUCCCAGGUUCAAUUUCUGGUUGGGAAG